AUGACCGACGACGUCGCCGCUAAGAAGAAGGCCACGGACGACGCCGAGGCUGCUGUUGCCGCCGCCGCGUUGGCCUGGCCAACCGGAGGGUAUGAUCUGUUCAUACCUCGUUUACUCGUAUUUAUGCUAGCCGUAUAUGUGCUGCUCAUAGAAGGUUCGAUUCUAUGUUCUGUACGUGCUAGUAUGCUUAGGUAUUGCUAUGAGAUGCAUGCCUUUUAUGCCAUGCUUACUGUUUACUCGUGGAUAAGUCUUAUUGGAAAAGUGCUAAUAUUUCCAACAAUCCAAAAACCUUAUUUUAGGCACUUUUCGAUUCAAGGCUUUGCUGCUACUCUGAAACCAAAAAAGUUUACCGGGAUGCAUUUUAAGCGUUGGCAGACUAGGACCACCUUGUGGCUCACAGCGAUGAACAUGUUCUGGGUUGGUGGUGUGUCCCUCACAGAAACGAUUGCUCCUGAACAGGAGAAGGCGUUUAGGGAGGCAACCACAAUCUUUCUGAGAGCAGUUCUGAGUGUGAUUGGAGACAAGUUGGUUGACGCCUAUAUUCAUAUGGGGGUUGCCAAAAACUUCUGGGAUGCGCUCGAAGUCAAAUUCGGCGCAACUGAUGCUGGUAGUGAGCUGUAUGCCAUGGAGCGGUUCCAUGAUUACAGGAUGGUUGAUAACCGUUUUGUAUUGGACCAGGCUCAUGAGAUACAGUGCAUUGCUAAGGAGCUGGAGCUCCUGAAGUGUGAGUUAUCGGACAAGUUUGUUGCGGGUUGCAUUAUUGCAAAACUCCCUCCUAGUUGGAGGAACUUUGCUACUUCUCUCAAGCACUUGAGACGUGAAUUCUCUGUUGAGAAUGUCAUCGGUCAUCUCAGUGUUGAGCAGAACUCGAGAGCAAAGGACUCACACAUGAAA
rnacentral:rRNA from 1 species